GAUGAAGAACGUAGCGAAAUGCGAUAAGUAAUGUGAAUUGCAGAAUUCAGUGAAUCAUCGAAUCUUUGAACGCAUCUUGCGCUCCUUGGUAUUCCUUGGAGCAUGCCUGUUUGAGUAUCAUGAGCAAAUCUCAAAGUCAAUUUCUUUUGUUAAUUCAAUUGGUUUUGCUUUGGACUUGGAGGUCUUGCAGAUUUCACAGUCUGCUCCUCUUAAAUCCAUUAGCUGGAUCUCAGUAAUUAUGCUUGGUUCCACUCGGCGUGAUAAGUAUCACUCGCUGAGGACACUGUUAAAAAGGUGGCCAGGAAAAUACUGAUUGAACCGCUUCUAACGGUCUAUUAAGUUAGACAAUUGACCCCAUAAGUUUGAUCUCAAAUCAGGUAGGACUACCCGCUGAACUUAAGCAUAUCAAUAAGCGGAGGA
rnacentral:misc_RNA from 1 species